AACGAACGCUGGCGGCAGGCUUAACACAUGCAAGUCGAACGGGUGUAGCAAUGCAUCAGUGGCAGACGGGUGAGUAACACGUGGGAACCUUCCUAGGGGUACGGAACAACUCAGGGAAACUUGAGCUAAUACCGUAUACGUCCGUAAGGAGAAAGAUUCAUCGCCCCUAGACGGGCCCGCGUCGGAUUAGGUAGUUGGUGGGGUAACGGCCUACCAAGCCUACGAUCCGUAGCUGAUCUGAGAGGAUGAUCAGCCACACUGGGACUGAGACACGGCCCAGACUCCUACGGGAGGCAGCAGUGGGGAAUCUUGGACAAUGGGCGCAAGCCUGAUCCAGCCAUGCCGCGUGAGUGAAGAAGG
rnacentral:rRNA from 1 species